UCGAGACUACUCGUAUUCUGAAACGCUUUGAUCUCUCACCAAGACUAUUUUCCAAGGCCACCGAGAUGAUUAGCCGGGUUCUCAAGAGUUUCUCAUCUGAAUAACAUAGACAUCUUGUUAAUCUGCCACUAAAGCCUUAAAAAAACAUGCUUAAAAAAACCACUUCAGCUUUUGAAUAUAGUGAAGAUGCGACGUAGAAGUGUUUCAGAAUAUGGUCUUUAUACACACACACACACACACACACACACACACACACAAACACACAGACGUUUUGCACAAUGAACAAGCAGUUAAGUUGGUUUCAUUCUCAUUCUAUCUCACUGUGCCUCAUCUAGUCAUCCAUGAGCAGGAUUAGGUGCAAGGCAAGUGAAAGAUCUCAGGCCUGUCCAUAGAUCCAGAGUGAACCUUAUCACACACACACACACACACUCACACACUUCUAAUAAUCCUCAAUCCUAUUUAUUUUGAUAUCAACACGAAUUAUAACAAGUAUGAGGAAUCGAAUAUAAGAAACUGGAGUAUAAAAAAAAAAAGAGGGAGGUGGGCAAUAUUAGCUGGCAACCCUCCGAGGAAUACUACGCAUCCAUUGACCAAUCACAGGAAUUCACACACCAGCGUCAGCCAAUCAGCAGCUGCGUUAGGUAUGCCCUGGUGUGCUAGCCAAUGAGGGAGGGCGUAACGUGAGGCAGGAAUGGCUAUGCAUCAUCUGGGAGCGUUAGUAGUUCUGACCUUGUGACGGGAGGAGGCUGCUGAGGCGCUGACCUGAAAGGAAGCAGAUUGGAGGUUAUCAAAUUAGUGUUGUGAAGUUGCACGUGGCAAGAUGGCCGCCAUUGACGUCACGGGAACUAGAUCGUUGCCAGAUUUCAUGACAUCACUUGCUGUUAGUCGGAGUAAAUGCAGAGAUGGACUGGAAGGGGAGCUGGAGAAAAUGAAGGACGGGGAGUGUAAUAGAGAGGAAUAAAGGUAAAAAAAAAAAACUCGCUAAUAUCAUUUCCCUUGACAUUUAAACCACGAAGGAGAAGAGAGAUGAGUCCUAAAACAUCAUCACAAUACAACACGCCAUAAAACGAUAAAACAUCACCACUACAAAACCAACACAAUAAAACACGCAAUAAAACAAUACAUACAUUUUUCUCUCUAUAUUUAUUCCGAAAUAUGUAGAAAUACGCACACGAGAGCUGAAGGAUUGGCAUGUGUGGUGACCUUACGUAUGGGGAGUAGAGUUCAAAAGUAUACAUGCACCAGAUUAUGCCAUGCCGCACUAUGCCACGUGCGGGAAUUUGAGAGAUUACGUAAAUAUGCACAUGUACAGCUGGCGAAGGAAAAGAUGGAAUGUUGU